GACGAACGCUGGCGGCAUGCCUAACACAUGCAAGUCGAACGGGAUGGAGCCUUCGGGCUCCGGCGAGUGGCGAACGGGUGAGUAACACGUGGGUAACCUGCCCUUCACUGGGGGACAACCGAGGGAAACUUCGGCUAAUACCGCAUGAUGUGCGCUUCUACAAGGAGGCGUACCAAAACUCCGGUGGUGAAGGAUGGGCCCGCGGCGGAUUAGCUAGUUGGUGGGGUAAUGGCCUACCAAGGCGACGAUCCGUAGCUGGUCUGAGAGGACGAUCAGCCACACUGGGACUGAGACACGGCCCAGACUCCUACGGGAGGCAGCAGUGGGGAAUCUUGCGCAAUGGGCGAAAGCCUGACGCAGCAAUGCCGCGUGAGGGAAGACGGUCUUAGGAUUGUAAACCUCUUUCAGCAGGGAAGAAAACAGACGGUACCUGCAGAAGAAGCCCCGGCUAACUACGUGCCAGCAGCCGCAGUAACAC
rnacentral:rRNA from 1 species